GGAUGGAUGCACGUUGAGCAGGUUGAAGGGACGUAUGUGCACAGUGAAGCGCAGAUGGAUGUGCAUCUGGUCUUCGGUCCAGUCGAGGAGCCCCCAGGUGAACGGGUGCGAAGCCCCAGUGUCCGGUGGUCAGGCGGGGGCCUCACCUUCGGUGUGCAGCCUGUGGCAGAUCUGCUCGGUCACGAGUGAGUUGAUUACGGCGGGUGAAGGCAGGCGGUGUGGGAGGAAGCGGGUGAGGGAUUACGCGCACCCGCUUCCUCUCCUUUCCCCCUUGAUUGAGGGCUGCGACCGCUUUGUGCAUUCAUCAACACCGGUUUAAUGAAGUGAUCAGAGGCGGAGAUCAGACGCAGCCCUGGAAUAUUACUCCAUUACCCCCCCAAGCUCCCUGACCCCAGGCAUUAGGCCGCUGCUCCCUCACCCUGCAGGAGCACCGAGGAUGAAUAUGAAGUGAUUGUCUGCCCGUCCUCUGCCAGCGCGGACCUCCUUCUGGAAAUGAAAAGGACAAUCCUUCCUGCGCUUCAAACAGAGCGCGCCGAGCAGCCCCGGCCUCUCCCUCGCGGCGAUGAUGUUAAUAAACUGUCAGCGUGUGGCACUUUGUAAUUGGGUUUGUGCCUUGUUUAACAAAGAGCGAUUGGAUAGUUAGGAGGGAGAGCGGCAAUCUAUCCGCCUCUCCCGUGAAAUGAGCCGAGUGUCUCAUCCGUGAAUGUGUUGUCCCAGAGGAGCGGCGUCUGAGAUGUGUCUGUUAUCCCUGGUAAAUAAACCGAGGCGCAGGAAGCAGCCCCCUGCAAACAAACACUCCUGACAUCAUAAAGCAUGUGUAAUGCCGUCAUAAACAUGACGCGCCUCGCGCCGUAACCGCUCGCACCGCUUCGUUCCCAACAAAUGAGCCGGCGUGCUUAUUCAUGACGUCCUGUGAUUUAAGGACCGCCGUACACCAAAGACACAAAGACAGAGUGUCCUGCAGGAGGAGGAGGUCUCUCUUUUAUGCAAGAGGAGGUCGUUCAUUUCACGCAGAAGAAGCUCUCUUACAUUGUUAAAAAAAAAAAGAUUUUCCCUAACAAUUUUACAGAGAAACACAUUUAUUUUAUAAAUUUAUGGAUCUCGCACUUCAUUUGAAUGAACUCAUUUUACCUUAAUUUUACGUUUUUUGUUUGACAGGCGCUGAUGCCAGUCAUUUGACUGUGAUUUUACAUGAUUUGAAUUUAAUUUAAAAAAAACAGUAAAAUACUAAUUACAUAUUUCUUCUGUAAAAACAUGAGAAAAAAAAAAGAAUUGCCAUUUUUAGCAUAAUACUUACAUUUACAGUUGAACUGUUAAUUUAUAGGUGAUAUCUUUAUUUUUACAGAGUUUUGUACAUAACUCUAAAAAAAAAGGAAAAAAAAUGUAAAAGUUAUUUUCCGUAAAAUUGCGACCUUUUUUUACAGUGUACCCGAUGUAGCAGGUCACUCACCUCAUGCAGGAGGAGGUCUCUCACCUCAUGCAGGAGGAGGUCUCUCACCUCAGGCAGGAGGAGGAGGUAUCCGUCCCAGUAAAAAGCACUUUAGAAACAGCCGUGCUCGGCUUCAUCAGCCACUAAGCCGACUCCGGCUCCGACCAAUCAGUUCCGAGUCCCGCAGCCAGGCCUCCCUUUGGCCACUUCCUGCUGAGAUAAAACCAUCAGCCACGGGCUCUGCCCCCCCCCCCCUGCCGGUGGAGACGGCGACCCGGUGAGGGGUGAUGGGGGAAGGCUGGCAGCAGGUGACAGCAGAGCGAGUUUCCCUCAGCAGGUGACACCUCAACCCUGAAGCACUGAUGCCUCCUUAUCGCCGCUGACAUGGAGAGAAAACGCUGACGAUCCAGCAAGUUUUUUUUUUUACCAGUUAUCUGCUGAGCGAGUUCAUUCCUCCAAGAAGAAUCCACGUGGAAGCAGAGACUCAAGAAGAACUGCACAUCGUCUUUUCGCAUGCAGGUUUGGUCCAAGAACAGCAGAGUGAUGCCUUAUGGAUGAGACAUCAUGGCCGGUGCCCGGCAGCGUCAGAGCGAUGCCGGGGGGGUUCGACAGCUGUCAGUGAGUGUCCUGUAAAGAAGGUGGGUCACAGCUUCUCCGAGGAAAGAACCAGACCUGCCUCUGUGCUGGGACGCAAUCACAGUCUUUAGGAUGAGAGCUGGUGACUCAGGUGAAGGGGGCAUCGCAGUGGUGAAAUGAAGCCGGUCUAAUACACACACUGCGUCCUCGUGUGAAUAUAUUAAUGCAUUAUUUCUACAGCUGCUGACCUGAGCGCUUCAAGCCAGCCAUUAGGACGCUUAGUUUAGACCUGGUUAAACCGCGGAAAGGACUCGAGACUCGAGGCUGGUCAGAUCAGUCGCGCUUAGCGAGGUGACGGACGUAGGACGACUGACUCGAGACUUGUCUCACAGUGUCCCCUUGGAUCCGCAUUAGAUCGUUCACCUGUUUUUCCCCUGUCUCCUCCCACACCAGGUGUUCCCUGUUGGCCAAUUAUCCCUCGGGCAUAUAACCUGUGUCUUCUCCCUGUUCCUGUUGCCAGUUCGUCUUGUGUGUUCCACCAGGUCUUACCAGCGUUGUAUCCCUGUAGUGCCCAGUCGAUUCUAGAGAUCCCCCGUGUACGGAACUCCUGCCUGCCUCCGACACCGACACCGCCUGCCCGAAUUCCUCUACAUUAAAGCUUAUUCCUCACAUCUGCGUUUGGGUCUCUGUCUGAGCUGUGAUACGUUCUCACGACUUGUCGACUGUGUUUCUUGUCCACAGACCGGCUAACGGUACUUCGUUUCGGAAGUUGGACUCAAUCACUUUGGUUUUAAUGCUUCUGCAAAACGCUACUUGGUUUGUCUCCGACUGAAACUUACCAAAGAUCAAGAAAACAAUCCAGAAAAAGAACAUUGUGUCCCUGGUCAGAGGUGAGGUACCAGUAAGAGUUCCACAAACGAGGUGUUGUCAGUUGUUGUUCUGCAAUGCAUUGUGGGAAACUACUGUGCUUUAGCAGCCCACUUGGAUAUCAAGUGGAUUUAGUAUAAACUCUUUUUUUCAAAAGCUCCACAGAAUAAGUCUGAGAUUCAGUGUGUAGGGUGAUGACUCACCAGUUGUAGAGAGCGUGUGUGUGUGUGUGUGUGUGUGUGUGUGUGUGUGUGUGUGUGUGUCUCCAUUACAAGUUUGAGGUUUAGGGCUGAGGCUGAUUGACACCAUCAGCCUGUCGCCUCGCUUCGUGUUCUUUGUCAUCGUCCAUCUCUUCCUCACUGGGGAUGAAGAGCUAAAGGAAGGAAUCAGAUAUGAAUAUUAUUUCUCCCUGUCUGAGAUCUCCAGUCCGACAGCGAGCUUCAACCCCCCCAAGACCCCCGCUCGUCUGCAGCAAUAACAGCAGACAACAAACUUGUUAAAAGUCUGGGCCUUCACUCAGACUAAAGCUUCUAGUUUCCCAGAACAAGAUGCUCUGGACUUUUAACUGUGUCUGGACAAAAAUAAGUCUUUCAUUUCCAGAAGGAUAAUACGGACAUUUAAAUUCUCUUUGAGUCAGAAGACCUCGUCCAUCGUGAUUACUAAGUGUCACCUGUAAUUUAUUAACAGCAACAAUUUUAAACACAAUCAAUUCAUUUCAGCAGAAUCAACUAGAAGGAAUGAAACGGGUCUUUAGACAUGCAAACGUGUGAACAUAAUAGCUGUGCAAUUUCUUAUUAACGUUCUCUACUGAAAUGUACAUUUCUUCCCAAUCAGCAUUGUGAAAAAACACGACUGAUUGUUUGUGGUUUGUGUGUUUGCAUUAGCCUGCUAGCUCACUGGUAGCCAUCACUAAAGUGUCUGGUUGGAGUUAGCAUGUCACACGGCACGAGCUCCACUAUUUAAUGAAGAUAUUCAAAUAAAAUCAAUAAAUAGUCUCUGGUGUCUGCAGACACAACUUUCUCAUUCUAAUAUGUGAAUGAUACUACAAUAAAACACAAGGCCUGAUGACUAGAUGUCCCUCACAGCUGAUAACCCCAUCGCUCCAUCGAGGUCGUAGGUCACACCUGGGGAGGGUGUGGUCGACCUGGAAGAACACCUUAAACACAUUUUUGUCUGAACUUCUGGACUGUGUUGUAAGAUUUGACACAGAGUUUACUUCCU
ensembl:lncRNA